UACAGAGGGUGCAAGCGUUAAUCGGAAUUACUGGGCGUAAAGCGUGCGUAGACGGUUAUGUAAGUCAGGUGUGAAAGCCCCGGGCUCAACCUGGGAAUUGCAUUUGAGACUGCAUAGCUAGGGUGCGGAAGAGGGAAGCGGAAUUUCCGGUGAUAGCGGUGAAAUGCGUAGAUAUCAAGAGGAACACCUGAGGUGAAGACGGGUUGCUGGGCCGACACUGACGCUGAUGCGCGAAAGCCAGGGGAGCAAACGGG
rnacentral:rRNA from 1 species